GGGUUAUAACAUUCCAGGGGAUGUGUAGAUGUGAGUUUUUUGUUGUGUUUUGAAACAAGGUCUCUCUACGUAGCCCAGGCUGGCCUUGAACUCGUGGCAAUCCUCCCACCUCAGCCUCCAUGUUCUGAGAUUGCCGAUGUGAGCUACCACAUCUGACUUGUUUCCCCUUUUUCCUCUUUUUUUUUUUUUUAAAAAUCAGAUUAAUUGAAGCCUAAUUGGUGAGCAACAAAUUGCAUAUAUUUGGAGUGUAUGACAGGGUAAGUCUUGACACAGGUCUAUACCCAUCACCAAAAUUGAGAUAAGGUGACGUUCAUUGCCCCUCAACAGCUUCCUUCGGUCCCUUAGUAUCUCUUCCCUCUUCUCUUUUUCCUCCUUCCCACCUCUCUCCUUUCUGCCCCUCCCUUACCGCUUUCUUCCCAGGAAACUAUUGAUCUACUGUCUGUCACACAGAUUAUGUAAUUUGCACAUUUCAGACUCUUAUAUAAGUGGAAUCGUGGAGCAUUUGUUUUUCUCUCUGACAUCUUUCACUUAGCAAAAUUAUUUUGAGAUUCAGCCAUAGAGUUGUAUGCAUCAAUAGUUUAUUCUUGGGCUGGGGAUGUAGCUCAGUGGUUCUGCCGCCUGCCUUGCAAGCACAAGGUCCUGAGUUCAAUCAGUACAAAAAAAAAAGUUUAUUCUUAGUUAUUACUGGGUAUUAUUCCAUCACAUGGAUACAGCAGUUACUUACCGAUGAACAUUGGGUUAUUUCCAGUUUGGGGCAACUCCAGAUAAAGUUGCUGUGGACCUCAUGUGCAAGUCCUUGCGUGGACAUAUCCUUUCCUUUCUGUUGGGCAACUAGAUCAUAUGUGGCAAACCUGGUUUAAUAAGCCCCUCUACAUGCUCCUGCUGUGAUGACUGCCUCCCCCCAGGCCCAAAAACAACAGGGCCAACUGACCAUGGACCUGAAUCUCUGGACUGUGAACCAAAACAAACCUUUUGUCUUUAUAAGUUUAUUUUCUCAGGUAUUUGCUACAGUAACAGAAAGCUGACUAACACAUAAGUGGAAAUAGCUAUUAGGCAAUUGAAGUAAAUUAACUGAUGCUUAAAAGGCUUAGAAUUGAAUCCCAGUGGAAAUUUUAUGCAAAUAUUACAAAAGACAAUACAUUUACUGUAGAUCAGGAGUUUGAAAUUUAAUAGGUACUGAAACAAUGUUGAGCUUGAUUUGACUAAUACUUCAUGACAUAGGAAUUCACUCAGUCAAGCAUGUUUUGGCUUGGGGAGGAGUCUGAGUGCAGAAGAAAAAAGAUAGGGCUUAGUAUCUUGAAAAGGAAUCUAUUUUGCCCCUGUAAAUUGGUAAUAAGACACAGCUGACAGAAAGUGGAAGAAAAGGCAAGUACCUUAAUAGCUGCAUCUAUUGUUCUAGAUAACACCUUUUCUAUUGAAAGCUACACAAAAUAUUUAUGCAUACAGUUUUAAGAGAAAAACUGGAGUACGAGGUAGCGUUAGUAAAUGUCUUUUUGAAAUCAGGUUUGUGGUAUUUUAAAAUCUGUGAGCAUCUUCACAAAGUAAAGACAGCAAUGGAAACUGAUUGUGGUUGAGUCCCACAGCUCACCUCUAAAUCUUCGUGUAUCAUUUAGAACCCUGAACUCGUACUCCCCCAAAUCACUUUUCUGUAAUUCAUUGUUAUGGCCCAGCUUUUAAAGAUCUUCCAAAGAUGUUCCAUAAUUCCUUUAAUAAAUUGUUCUACUUUAAAAUUUACAAAAACUUAUAAACUUCUUAAAUGAUAGAGAGAUGGUAUACUAUGCUGAACUCUACAAAAAUUUCCUGUCAUCCACAACAGGAAGGAAGGAAGUAAGCAAAGAGAGAUUACAUACAGUGGGAGCUUGGUACAGUUCUCACUGUUAACUGGUUCUGGGAAGCACCCGUGAAUGCCAAAAACACAAGUGCCAAGCACAUUUGCUGUUGGUACCGACAGAUCCUAACUUGCAUGCAGCUACCGAACUUGGGGAGCACCGGAACAAAAUCUGCUCCAAAUGCUUUGAGUCCCAGAUUCAACGAGUUUCAAAGCAGUGGAGUACGAUGGUGUGACUCUUUUGGAAAGAUUGUUAGGAAGAUGAUAAUGAGAUGACUAGUUUCUAGAUUAAAAGCUUCUCACUCACGUUUUGUUUGACCUUAUCACAAUCAUUGUGGAGGUUUGGAGUUUCGACUUGAUCGGCUUUGGCAUCUUCCCUGGGGAUUGGCCAAGCACACUUCUGGAUGCAUCUGGGUGUGUCAGAGAAGCAUGGCCUUAGGGUCUGUGUUAGUCCCUCGCCCACUCUGCUCCUCUGUUCCUGGCACUGUUCCCCUCCUCUGCUGCCUGGCUCCAAGCCCUUCUGCCUUGUGUUUCUGCUUUGGAGAAUUUCUAGCAUUGACUGCAUCCUGUGAACCAUUAGCCAAGUUUAACCUGUUGCUAGAACAAAAUACCUGACAAAAACAGACAUCAAUGACUAUGAUAUUUGAUUGUUGAACAGAUAAAUGCAUCAAAGUUUAAGAAGUACUAAUUUAGUCAUUUAACAAAAAUGUAUCAAGAGGGCUGGGGAUUUAGCUCUGUGGCACCAUGCCUGCCUCGCAAGCACAAGGUCCCAAGUUCGAUCCCUGGUACCAAACAAAUAAAAAUAAAAAAGAAUCUACUUUUAUAUAAAGACUAAAGGUUGAUGUUCUUGACUUUAGUGUAAACAAUAAAAGCUCUUAGUGACCAUAGAGUUUCUGUUGAGUCAGACACUUAUAGUUAUGUAAACCAAAGUGAUGUGAGUGACUUCUUGCAGUAGCAGAUCAUUUUUUUUCACUUAACUCAGAUUAUCAAUUUAUUUUAGGCAUAGAAUUCAAUUUCCUUCCCAUAUAUUUAUGUCCUUGAAAGCUUCUAAAAGCUGCUUCCUGUUUUCCAUAUGAUAGGUGGCUGCAUUUACUGGUAGAUGACAUAUUUAUGUCAUUUGAAAAGGUCUAUGGCAUAUGAUUUGACCUUUGAGUGAAGUCAUUACAUAAAUGUCACUUGUCAUUAUUCAGCUGUGGGGGGAAAAAUAAGCUUUAAAUAUAGUCAAGUACUCCUACCUGGAACAAAAUAAUAUACUUCUUUGUUAUAAGUAAGAACGGUUAGCUUCUGCAUCCUGUACCCUACUAAGCAUGAACUUGUUGACCAUUUUAUGUUCAGUUGGUCUGUUUGUUGCGAAGCUCUGCUCACUCCUUCAUGCUGACAGUGAGUACUGUCUCACGCUGUGUUAUACUUCUCUCUUAGAGCAGCAGCAUGCUCCAGGUGGUGAGCCAAUAGCAAUGACCUCACUGAGCAGGAAGCAAAACAUCAUACAGGGAUAACAUCACAGUGAAGGAAGAAAAGGAAGAGAAGUGUAGGGCCCUUCUGUCUGCAUACAAGGACUGGAAGACACAAGGAGAGGAAAGGCAUGAUGGAUACAUUUCCCACUGCACCCCGUUAUCAGAUUACAGUAGUGUCACACAUGAGGGAUUACUGCGGUUCUCUUCUGUGACAGUUGAGUGAUUGUGUCAACUUGAGAAGUCGGUUAAGCAAAGCUUGGCUAAAUGGGCUCAACAAUUCCACACCCUGGGGCAUGGAGGACUCACCCUAGGGUCCCUGGGGCCCGGAUGCUACAAAGGGGAAAUGAGGAAGGAGGCUCUGCCUCUGUUCCUUCCGAGGAGCUCCAGACUUUGCCUUGGACGUCAUCUCCUGGCUUCCAGCGCAGACUCUCCAGGUUCCGGAACAAAUCCUUCAGCUUCUGGUGCAGACUCUUCAGCCUUCCAUCCCAGACCCAUCGGCCUCGUGGUACGGGCUCGCACGGGGCACUGCAGUGAGCUCCAGGCCUUCAACUGAAUCCUAGACUCCAGUGUGCAGACAGACCCUCUGCACCCUUCCUCAUUGACUCUGUGGGCGCCAUUGUGGGCCAGUCUUGUGAAUUCAUAUACAUUUGUGCAUCUUGUGUGGUGUCUGUCCCUCGAGUACAUAUGACUGAUACGUCUUCCCAUGAGAGACAUUAUGGUUUAUCUCACCAAGUACUCAUUAAGUGAUUUUCUUUGGUAGCCUCUGUCUGAACACUAUCAUGUCAUUUCUGUAGCUCUGAGCUUAUGUUCUCCAGGAAAGCAGACAUGAGCCAUAUGUAGCCCUUUAAUUUUAAAUUGAAUAAAAUUGUAUUAAGAAUUUGUUUUCUCAGUUGCACUAGGUACAUUUCAAGUGCUCAUAUGUGGCUGUG
ensembl:lncRNA